rnacentral:rRNA from 1 species
GACGAACGCUGGCGGCGUGCUUAACACAUGCAAGUCGAACGAUGAAGCCGGAGCUUGCUCUGGUGAAUUAGUGGCGAACGGGUGAGUAACACGUGAGUAACCUGCCCUUGACUCUGGGAUAACUGCGGGAAACUGUAGCUAAUACCGGAUACGACCCUCGGAGGCAUCUCCUGGGGGUGGAAAGAAUUUCGGUCAAGGAUGGACUCGCGGCCUAUCAGCUAGUCGGUGAGGUAAAGGCUCACCAAGGCGACGACGGGUAGCCGACCUGAGAGGGUGAUGGGCGACACUGGGACGGAGACACGGGCCAGACUCCGACGGGAGGCAGCAGUGGGGAAUAUUGCACAAUGGGCGCAAGCCUGAUGCAGCAACGCCGCGUGAGGGAUGACGGCCUUCGGGUUGUAAACCUCUUUUAGUUGGGAAGAAGCGAAAGUGACGGUACCUGCAGAAAAAGCACCGGCUAACUACGUGCCAGCCGCCGCAGUAA